rnacentral:rRNA from 1 species
UACGUAUGGUGCAGGCGUUAAUCGGAAUUACUGGGCGUAAAGCGUGCGCAGGCGGUUUGCUAAGACAGGUGUGAAAUCCCCGGGCUUAACCUGGGAACUGCGCUUGUAACUGGCAAGCUAGAGUGUGGCAGAGGGGGGUGGAAUUCCAGGUGUAGCGGUGAAAUGCGUAGAUAUCAGGAGGAAUACCGAUGGCGAAGGCAGGUCUCUGGGCUGACACUGACGCUCAUGCACGAAAGCGUGGGGAGCAAACAGG